rnacentral:misc_RNA from 1 species
AACGCACGAGACCUGCGGACCUGCGGAAGGAUCAUUAACGCGCCGUGGAGGUUGCCUUUAAACAGGUCUGACCUUCCACCUGGCCACCCUUGUUUAUCUUUAACCUGUUGCUUUGGUGGGCCCGCUGCGAGGCCGCUGGAGAAUUUAAAAGUUUUCUGGCCCGUGCCCACCAAAGUCCUAGUGAACUCUUUGUUAAUUUUCUGCUGUCUGAGCAUUAAAAGAAACAAUUUUUAAAACUUU